rnacentral:lncRNA from 1 species
CUAGGUGAGACAAGUAAACAAGUAGACUACAACUGCACUUGGAACUUGUAGACCUUCGCUUACGCCAAAAGUAUCCAUAAAACAACAUAUAAAUUGAACAUCUCUAAAGUAAUUUAACAUUUUUUACACGCUUUAAAGUGGAAAAACUUGAAAUUGUUUGCAAUUUUGCAUCAAAAGGUAUCACGGCAAACUUGGAAAACAGCUUCACCCAUGAUUGUUGAGCCAAUUACCACAUGUAGGUCAAAACUGCAUGGUCUUGUUUAUGUUAACCCCGAAAAACUUUAGCAGCAGAUCAACAUUGUAAUAAUUAAUUCUUUUCUUGGAACUCUUAGAAGUUAAAAAGAAGAAACAACAUAUUUAUGGAUGUAAACACUUUUGGUGCAAGGAAGAUUCAAGAGGUAUAUUGGCAUUCAAUCUUUGACAAUAUAGCACUAACCUUAUCAGCAGGACCUUUAGCACCUCCUAUGAAUAUUUCAGCACUGCAAAUUAUGCCGCCAUGAACGGGCCUCGAUCGGCGACGACCUCGAAAUCAAUCGAACUCCAUCAGUAGCGAGAAUCGAAUAGAGGUCGAAGUUCUCUGUAUGAACAAACUCCAAUAUUCAAUUUCUAAAGUCAAUCACGAAAUCUGAAGAGCCCAACUAAUCGUCUUCUCCAAGAGUGAGUUUAGGGGUCAUUGGUGAGGGAGAUGGCUGGAGAUCGAUGGUCUCUUAGGGUGUGUUUGGUUGUCCAGGAGCUGAACGGUGGAGGGCUGCUGUGUUCCGCAGCUGAUUUUGGUUGCUUGGGGUGUGGAUGAGAUGAGGAGUUCUAUUGUUUUUUCUUGUCCAUGGUGAAAGGGGUGGGUGUUUGAUCGAAGAAGAAAACAAAACCGAUGGGGAAGGGG